GACGAACGCUGGCGGCGUGCCUAAUACAUGCAAGUCGAGCGAAUCGAUGGGAGCUUGCUCCCUGAGAUUAGCGGCGGACGGGUGAGUAACACGUGGGUAACCUGCCUGUAAGACUGGGAUAACUUCGGGAAACCGGAGCUAAUACCGGAUACUUUCUUUUCUCGCAUGAGGGAAGAUGGAAAGAUGGUUCUGCUAUCACUUACAGAUGGACCCGCGGCGCAUUAGCUAGUUGGUGAGGUAACGGCUCACCAAGGCAACGAUGCGUAGCCGACCUGAGAGGGUGAUCGGCCACACUGGGACUGAGACACGGCCCAGACUCCUACGGGAGGCAGCAGUAGGGAAUCUUCCGCAAUGGACGAAAGUCUGACGGAGCAACGCCGCGUGAGCGAAGAAGGCCUUCGGGUCGUAAAGCUCUGUUGUUAGGGAAGAACAAGUACGAGAGUAACUGCUCGUACCUUGACGGUACCUAACCAGAAAGCCACGGCUAACUACGUGCCAGCCGCCGCCGUAACAC
rnacentral:rRNA from 1 species